UCUCACACCAGAAAUAGUUUGGGAGCAACUAACAGAAAAGUUUUCCUAUCUCCUAGUGAUGCAACGUUACAGUGACAGUCACUGGAGUGUCUGAGCUGAAGGCCAAUCAAUUACAGAAAGCAGAGCAUUUUCUGUUCAAACUCUGGUGUUUCUCCCCAUGUGCUCAGUCAUCCUUUGGAAGGCAAUCUCUUUACCCAGGCCUAUGAACAGGCUUUCCUGGAAGGUGCAUUUCCCAGUUCUAGUAUCUGACGCUUUGACCCUAAAAUGCUGAGCACCUACUACCUGCUUGACGUGUGGAUGCCUUGCUUGUCCUUUAGAAAGAAUAAUAUCUUCUUGGUGUCAGAAGCAACUUAUACAAUGGUGAGGAAAAGGAUUUUGGCAAUGAAGAGCUCAAGCAGACAGAAAGCUGGCUCUGACAGUCAUUCCUCCUAUGCCUUUCCCGUUCAUGUGGACACUGUGUGACUGGCUGGCUGGUGUUCUCCGCACAGGGGACUGCGCUUCCAUAGCUGCACUGCAGAGGUACGCUAGAGAAAGAAAGUGUGGGAGCUUGGCAAGCGGCAGCUGAGAAGGCUGAUCUAAACCUUCUGGGCAACAGAGAGGAAGAAUCUGGAUAAGUAGAGAAGCUAUUGGAAGUGGCACUUUUUGAAGUGCAAUUAAAAAAGAGGUUGCUUUUUUUGAGGAACGUUUUCUA
rnacentral:lncRNA from 1 species